GGGGGUAUAGCUCAGUUGGGAGAGCGCUUGAAUGGCAUUCAAGAGGUCAUGGGUUCAAAUCCCACUAUCUCCA
rnacentral:tRNA from 1 species